rnacentral:rRNA from 1 species
GACGAACGCUGGCGGCGUGCUUAACACAUGCAAGUCGAACGGCAAGGCCCUGCUUUUGUGGGGUGCUCGAGUGGCGAACGGGUGAGUAACACGUGAGUAACCUGCCCUUGACUUUGGGAUAACUUCAGGAAACUGGGGCUACUACCGGAUAGGAGCUCCUGCUGCAUGGUGGGGGUUGGAAAGUUUCGGCGGUUGGGGAUGGACUCGCGGCUUAUCAGCUUGUUGGUGGGGUAGUGGCUUACCAAGGCUUUGACGGGUAGCCGGCCUGAGAGGGUGACCGGCCACAUUGGGACUGAGAGACGGCCCAGACUCCUACGGGAGGCAGCAGUGGGGAAUAUUGCACAAUGGGCGGAAGCCUGAUGCAGCAACGCCGCGUGCGGGAUGACGGCCUGCGGGUUGUAAACCGCUUUCGCCUGUGACGAAGCGUGAGUGACGGUAAUGGGUAAAGAAGCACCGGCUAACUACGUG